AGAAAACCCACGCAGCCACGAAGAGAACAUGCAAACUCCACACAGGUCGACGUGCUAACCAUUCGACUGCCGGGCUGCCCUAAUUAAAUAUGCAUCGCCAUCCAAGAAGAGAACAAUAACUAGUGGCAUGAAUCACACUAUAGAACUUAGAUAAUAUAUUCAGAUGCCCCGCGACCCAUGGGAGGAUAAAGCGGUUCAGUAAAUGGAUGGAUGGAUGGAUGGAUAUAUUCAGAUGUUCCUGCAUAAUAUAUAUAUAUAUAUAUUUCUUUAAGAUUGCAUCUGAUUGGUUAGAUGACGUUAAAGCAUGCAAUUCCAUUUUAAUUCAUUGCACAUCUUUUGCAUUCUGCAUAGCAUGCGCCAUUAUCAACAACGGCAAUUUUUUUUUCAAGACAUAAUGCAUCCCUAAUUUUAAUUAUGCCACCUCCUGUAUGGGUAGAAAAUGAAACAAGCAAAAAAAAAAACCCCAAAAAUAAUAGGAGCUGUCUUUUGAACUCUUACUUAAAUAUGCCAAUGUUCUAAGCAAUUCCCCUUCUGUAGAAAAUCAAUCUUCAACAAAAUAUUCCUUACUGUAUUUUCACUGUUAUAGUGCAAAUCAGUUCGAUGGGAAUACUAAUUUAACAAAGAAAAAAAUGUCACUUCAAUCUUGAGUUUUCUUUCUAUGUGAACGGAAACACUACAUUUUCUUAUGCCUUCUUAAGUUAGAUGUCGUUGUCGUUGUGUAUUCAUUCCACAAGGUUCAAACCAUGCGUAUUGCCUUCCUAUUUUUGCCACUGUCAUUAAGAAAGUAAGACAUUAAUUCAAAUGAAUGAUCCUCAUCGUUGCUCAUAUUGCUGUCAAUGUUUAGGUCACCAUUUGGCACCAACAGGUGAUGGGCUGGGUUGCCAGGUUGGCAUGCAUGAAACAAAAAGAUGCUUUGUUCCCCCCCCCCCCCUUGCUUUCCUUCCAAAAAAGGCCAAUUGUGAUGAAAUGCUUUUUUUCAAAUUUUUAAACAAGAGGACUCGUCAAGUCAUGUAAUUCCAGUAUAUUUAGAAACUGAAUUUUGGAAUUCUUGGGUAGUCUUGUUUAAUCCCCCCCCCCCCCCAAACUCGGAAUGUUUGCAGAACAUUUGGUGGAAACUGGAACCUUUUCAAAAUUAUUUGAAUCAAUAACUUGUGGAGUUCUGAGCCUUAACUGGGACACUGAUAUUGUACUGUAGUGUAUUGAUGGACUUUUGCAUAUACUGAUGGUCAUCACAUUGACAGUUGCAUUUAUUAAAUUCACAUAUUCCGCCACAGAGACAUGUAUUUGUGGGGAACACUGCGAUAAAAGUGUCUUAUUUCACGGAGCUGAUUUAUCAAUGAAUUAAAUACGAAUAAUUUUGUUCGAUCACAAAAUAUCAGUCGGUCUAAUGCAACCGACCAGAUUGCUGUCAAGUCUAGAAAAGAGUGUAUCAACAGAAAAGUAUGGCUUCAUUGCGUGUUCAUCUUCAUUCUUGGAUUUUUUUUUUCUUUCUUUGCUUAUCUGAGGUUUGUUUUUUUUUUUUUUUUUCAAUGUUACUGGAUUUAUUGAAGUCAUAAUUCCUACUAUUGCCCAGAUAAUUGUCUGGUCAAUAAUUAUCUGG